GGGAGGGAAGGAGAGGGACUUAAAAGCCGGGCAACAUCUGUGGUUUUAAACGAGAGAUGUAAAAUUUCUUUGUGCCAUGGAUUCUCUAAUACGCGUGUGUCUAUCAUAUCUUUGUUUACAAACUUUGAAAGGGUUCAUUAUUCAUUUGGCGUGUCAAGGUUAUAAACUGCAGUCGCUGGUCGAGAAUCACAUGGUCCUGCACUGCUGAUCAUGAACACCUUACAUCAUGUGUGCUUCAUCUGGUGUGUAGGCUCUCUCGCUGCACAAUCACACAUCUUCAUGUCUGCCCGAGUAGGUUCCUCAGCUGUCCUGCCCUGUGACUCGCGAAAUGUUCCCAGCAUACCUUUAUCCAUCCCAACACCACACGUUGAGUGGUGCACCAUUACAGAGACUGUGUUUGAUGCGAAAGGGUGAGGAGUCGUACCAGGGUGAAGGAUAUGUGAACCGCGUGAACGUUCCUGGGGACAUGUUGCUCAAGGGGAACUGUUCCUUGGUGAUGAAGGAACUCAGACAUGACGAUGCAGGGGUCUAUGAAAGCUACCUGCUGGUGAAACGCCCAAAGAGAGCACUCCACUCUGAGAGAGUUUUCAUCCAGAGAAUCGAACUCUCAGUUAACGGGGCCGAGACUACAGAUCGCUCUUGAAGUUUGGGAGAACCAUCAGAUUGGCCAUUACAGAUGACGGGUAUCACGGACAUAACACAGCUCAUUUCUGCCAUGACUCUAUUCUGCAUUCUGCAAGGCCCUGCUGGAUUACACUUUUGAUCCUAGUGUGUGUGUGUUUGGUCUCUGUCCCGUUGAACAUCAUCUGCAUAUGUGUGUUAUGUUGCAGGGUGCAAGGUGAGGAUUACCUACACAGCUGUCAUCUCUACUUUGGUUCUUUGUGUAAUACUGUGACAGAGCUACACUCACCACCCACUGCAUGAGAAGCAUCUGCCUUGUAUCAACAGAAAGCCAAUGUCAUCAUCAACACACACCUGCUGUUAUAACUCCAGAGAGCCCACUGAGAAGGUACCAGAAACACUCUUAAUUAAAUGGGAAGACAUCAAGUACAUUUAGGAAAAUAACAAAGGAUUUGUUUCCACCCUGAAUAUUAAUUAAAUGCUAAACACUGGUUAUAUUGCAUAUUGCAACACAUCUCUCCAAAUGCAAAGGUGUAUCUUUCACUGUAGGGUUUUGUGUCCUCUUAAACACAAUACAUUUUUUGCAUGCACAGAAUUUAUAACCUAUUGAAAACUAUAACUACAUAGUCGUGCAUUAUGUGUUUGCAAUGAACUGUAGUAGCUACUUUCUCCAGGAAGAGGUUCUGCAGUAUGCCAGGUUUGGACAUCACAUAGUGACCAGUGAAGCUGAAGGAAACACAGUGUAUGCGUUGGACACUGUGACAUAUGCAAGGGUCAUGACCUGACCCAGCAAACCUCCACCACCAUGAGGCUUCAACAACCAGCACAACCAGCACAGCCAGCACUCAGGCAGUGCUGAAACUAAGAGUGUCCAACUGAUAGUUAAAACCAUACAUCCACUCUGCUCUAUCCACUGUACAGGUUUUCUUUUUUGAAAGCUUUUACAGAGCAGAUGUGAAUGUCUCAUAUAUAGAUGAAUACAAAAACAUUAGUACUCCAUACCAUAUUAAUUAAUUUAAAUGGAAGCCAAUAAUGUGUUACUCUCCUUGCUGCUGUGGUCCAGUUCAGAUUUUGUGUCUGAUUGAUCAUUGCUUACUCCGCCUUGUUACUGACUCCGCCUUGUUACUGAUUCCGCCUUGUUACUGACUCCUGCUUUCCCUUGAUUGAGCCGCUGUGCCUUAUAAAUAUGCAGCAGACCUCUGGGCUGCACAUUAUUCAGGCUUAUACCAUGUUUUUGCGCUCCUCUGUUUGUAUGUAUGUGCUCUUAUCUUUGAUCUCUCUGUUCAUUCUGCUUGGCUUGUAUGUACUCUUGUGGUGUUAGCAUGUCUCCUAUCAGUUGUUAUGAGCACUGUGUGUGUUAGAUGUUAGUAAUGUUUGUUAGCCUCCUCCAUUGUAAGGAUGGCUAAAGUGGCUAAUUGGUGAACUGUUUAGAGUACAAAUGAGUUUGUUUAUACAAUCUGUUGCAAUAUGCACAACAUAUUGAUCGAUAAAAGAAAAACACUUAAUAUUCAGUGUGAAAGUCAAUACACUAAAGUGUCCCUCUAUUGUGGUGAGAGCCAUAUAGAGUCCCUCUAUUGUGGUGACUGGCCAGGUGUGGCCACUGAACCUGACAACGGCACUAACACAACUAGGACUCAUAUGGGUUUUUAUACAUAUAUGUUUGUAUAUCAUUGCUAUCAGACAAAAACCUUUUGUACAAAAUUGCCAUACUAAUAGUGAUUUGUCAUGAAAAAUAUUUUAAAAUCUAAACCUUGGUUUAAUUUGCAGCUUUGAAACAGCUUGUCAUGGCUUACCUUUCAAGUAUUCUUUUAAAAGCCUAGCUUAAGCUAUGUGAUUUUUAGCCCAAUUUGAACCACAAUUUUACCUUUCCAACAAAUUUUUCUACAGUUGUGGCCAAAGGUUUUAAGAUUAGCACAAAAAUUGGUUUUCACAAAGUUGCUGCUUCAGUUUCUAUGGUGGCAAUUUGCAUUAACUCGAUUGUGAAGAGUAGUCAAAUUAAUUGCAAAUAAUUGCAAUGUCAUUGCUUGCCAUGAAAAUUAAUUUACUUUUUUUUUUACUGCAUUCCAGCCACUGCAUUUCAGAUCUGACACAAGAUGGCCUGCUAACAUAAUUUCAGUGAUCUUUUCCUUAGCUCAGGAAAAAGGGUUAACAAGGAUAAGGCAGCUGAUAUCACUCUGUCAUGCUGAUUAGAAGAGCAGACUGGUUGCAGAAGUUUUCUUCUGUUAACCAUG